rnacentral:rRNA from 1 species
CAACUUUCAACAACGGAUCUCUUGGCUCUCGSAUCGAUKAAGAACGCAGYGAAAUGCGAUACGUAGUGUGAAUUGCAGAAKUCAGUGAAUCAUCGAAUCUUUGAACGCACCUUGCGCCCCUUGGYAUUCUGAGGGGCACACCCGUUUG